UACGUAGGGGGCAAGCGUUGUCCGGAAUCAUUGGGCGUAAAGAGCGCGUAGGCGGCCCUGUAAGUCCGCUGUGAAAGUCAAGGGCUCAACCCUUGAAUGCCGGUGGAUACUGCAGGGCUAGAGUCCGGAAGAGGCGAGUGGAAUUCCUGGUGUAGCGGUGAAAUGCGCAGAUAUCAGGAGGAACACCGGUGGCGAAGGCGGGUCUCUGGG
rnacentral:rRNA from 1 species